rnacentral:rRNA from 1 species
GAUGAACGCUGGCGGCGUGCCUAACACAUGCAAGUCGAGCGAACCCUUCGGGGUGAGCGGCGGACGGGUGAGUAACGCGUGGGUAACCUGCCCUGUACACACGGAUAACAUACCGAAAGGUAUGCUAAUACGGGAUAAAGUAUGAGAGUCGCAUGGCUUUUGUAUCAAAGCUCCGGCGGUACAGGAUGGACCCGCGUCUGAUUAGCUAGUUGGUAAGGUAACGGCUUACCAAGGCAGCGAUCAGUAGCCGACCUGAGAGGGUGAUCGGCCACAUUGGAACUGAGACACGGUCCAGACUCCUACGGGUGGCAG